GAGUCUCCUCCAUUUUGCCCUCCCUUUAUAACUGGCCCCAGAAGGGCAGAAGCUCCAAGUUUGCCCAUCUGGGCAGAGGGAUCCUCCUCCCGACGUCACCGAUUUCCUGCCCAUAUGAAUGUUUCUUGUGAAAUUUCUGGAGAAUUGUUGCUGGGGUUUUGCCAGUUGUAAGGAAACAAAUACACAAACAACCCCCUUCUGAAACUCAAUCACAAGAGGAGGCUGGUGCACGAGUACACAAACAACCUCCUUCCAAAAGUCAAGGGCAAGAGAACAACUCUUGUAGGAGCUUCAUCUUGAGAGCCAGUGCAGUCUUGCAGUCCAGUCUUUGCUCUCUCUCCUCACCUCUUAACAGUAUUCGACAUAGUUUUGUGUUAAAAACAAGCCAUCUCCUCAAAGAGAGCACUCAGUUCUGGUUCCUCUUGUCACUGCAGUGAGAGACUGGCUUUUACCACCCCAUGGCCUAAUGCAGCAAGGAAGGCUAACAGAGAGACUCGCAAGAAACAAGCAGGCUGUGACUUUUCUUUAAGUGGACAGAGGAUAACAGAGUUUGGGCAAGUUGUACCCUGUGGUAAUAGAGCUAAUCCUCUGCACACCACCUUACAGCUGUGUCAUGAGGGAUCAUACCUCUCUGCACGCUUGGGACAGAUUUCAAGGCAAAUGUUUAGCAAGAAACCAGAUAUUGAAGCAAGAGAGAUGAAAUGUUAUGAGGACAAAAGGAUUCUGCUGUUAUCAGAAACACCUGGGUCCUUGGAUCAGCCAGGGUCAAAGAAACCACCUACGUUCUUCCUGCCACGUAUAUAUGAAAUGUAAUUUGAAUAAAAAGACUCAGCAGCUCAUAAGAGAUGAGAGCUUUUUGCGCCUUCUCUAUUACCCUAUUAUUAGCUUCCUUUGCUGUUUGCAAGUCAGGCUGUGUUUGUGCACUUCAGUGGGAAUGGCUUUGUAACAGAGCUUUGUAGAUGACUCUUGUAGUUUUCUGAGCAUUAACCAUCAUGUGCUAGGAAACCAUUAAGAGAGGAGUGGAUGGGUUGAUGUGCUCAGUGAUUUUACAUAUUAAGGUGUUUGCUGUGCAGCUGCUAAACCAGAUCUGUCCCUGCCCUUUCUAAUUUUUGGGGGGUUCAAGUCCUUUUUUU